rnacentral:lncRNA from 1 species
UUCACAAAGUGGAGGUGGAGUGGUUGUUGUCCUCAAAUGAGACCCCUUCCCUCAUAUUUAUAAGCACUUGGGGUUGGUUUCGGGCAGGAAUAUUGAGGAAAUCUUAUACAACUGUAUUAGGGACACCGUCAACUACCGCCACGCGUCAACUGGGAUGAGAGGAGACAACAAGGGUUCGGCUGAACCCUUUGGCCGACCCCCAAUAACUACCUCUCACACCGCCUUUGCUCUAGGUCGUUGCCCUAUGGGUCCUCAUGUGGGUAGAAGGUGCUUGGCGGUGAAUGUAGUCGGUUUCCUUUCGAUUAUGGGCCCAUGGAUCCGUGUGCUUACUCCUGAUUGGUUGAGAAUGUGUUUCCUUACUCUUGAGGUGUGUUUUCUCUCUUAAUGGACAUGCAUACAAAUAUUCACCAACACUUGUGGAAUUCAUUAGUUAUAACUCCUACCACCAAUGUUGAUACUCAUUCUUUAUGUGUUUAUGAAGCAGUUGAUGGCCCAAAUUUUUUACUUAAGAGCUGUCAGCAGCUGUCACCACCUGCUGCCUCACUCUCAAACCAUGGGAAAAGGCAACAAAGAAAGGCAACCUCAAGCCUAGACACCAUGUCUAUCAAUUACCGCUCUAGCUCUGACCAGACUACAUCUAAAGACUCAACUUAAGCUAGAACACCCAUUAUAAGAACGGACGAUGAACCCGCAAGCUAAUACUACAAAAGCGUAACCUUACCAAGAACUCACCACCAUAGACGAACCCGGAUACUUACUAAAAGUAUUCAUAUCCGCCGAGGUACUAGUAGAGGGAGGCCUACAAGUCCGACUCUCCUCUUGAUCUUCUCCUCACACACUCCCUAUCCUACUCUACAAUAGUAGUCUAAAAGGUGGAGUCCUCCUUAUCUUCUUCUUCUCUCUAAUGUGUUCUGUUGUGAGAGGGGUAUUCUCC